ensembl:lncRNA
AACUUUUCUCAAGGACAUUUCCUUUCACUCGCGAUGCGGAACAGACGAGGACGUCAUUUAUUUUCUAUAUGGGAAAUCGUAAAAGAAGGUUAAGUGUGUUUAAUAACAUCAUGUUGAUUUAUAGCGAUAUUUAUGUGCUUUACUCCAAAACUUUUUUCUCAAGAGAGAUAUUUUCUUCCACUCACGAUGGGGAGAAUACGGGGAAUCUGUUUCUUAUCAAAGGGAAACACCAUAAGUAACAUUUGAAUCGCUGUACAGUGCAGACGCGGUUAGAAAAAGUAAAGACCAGAAAGAGAUAUUUUCUUUCACUCGCGAAACGGAGUAGACGAGGAAGUUGGUUUUAGGAAAACACCGAAAACAGAGCCCUGCUUCAGCGCAAUGAGAUUAGCAUGGAAUUCAGGAAUUGCAACCUAUUUUCCAGUAAGUCGGACUUUCUUUUUACAACAAAAAUAUAUACAUUUACAGUGAGUUAAAUGCUUUUACUUAAAGUGUUAAAGUUUAAGUGGGAGUGGAUUUCUCACUUAGCUGGAAACUGCAGACAUCUUGUCGUCCUGAAAAAAAGAAAGAGACUACUUUCUCCUAGGAGGUCCAAACGCCAUUGGCACAGACUUUGUUCAGUGAUCAGUAACAUACAUUCAGCCAGGGCCGUCCUUAGUGGGGUGCAACUGGAGCGGUCGCACCGGGCCCCGCACUUGAGGGGUAAACGGACUGGAUGAGCCCUCCCUCCGCCAACCCGGGAACGCUCCCUACUUCACACCGGGCCCCGAAUCAGCUAAGUACGGCCCUGCAUUCAUGGUUGAUGGUAGUGAAUAAGAUGCUGUGGUUUAAGCAGAUAAAUGUAAGCACUAUAAACCUGAUUAAAUUGAGAAUACAUAUGGACCAAAUACGUUUUUUGUGCCUUUGCACUGAUUAGCUUUGAUAUUGUUUUAAUUGUUGUAAAGUAUGUUCUUUAUAUGCACUGAAAACACUGAAUGUGAAGACAUUUUAGUGCAGUGAAAAAGAGUUACAAUGUUUCAAUUAAAAUAAAUAAGUGC